rnacentral:rRNA from 1 species
UACGUAGGGGGCAAGCGUUGUCCGGAUUUAUUGGGCGUAAAGAGCGUGUAGGCGGCUCGGUAAGUCCGCUGUGAAAGUCCGGGGCUCAACCCUGGAAUGCCGGUGGAAACUGUCGAGCUAGAGUCCGGAAGAGGCGAGUGGAAUUCCUGGUGUAGCGGUGAAAUGCGCAGAUAUCAGGAGGAACACCAAUGGCGAAGGCAGCUCGCUGGGACGGUACUGACGCUGAGACGCGAAAGCGUGGGGAGCAAACAGG